rnacentral:rRNA from 1 species
GACGAACGCUGGCGGCGUGCUUAACACAUGCAAGUCGAACGGAAAGGCCCUGCUUUUGUGGGGUGCUCGAGUGGCGAACGGGUGAGUAACACGUGAGUAACCUGCCCUUGACUUUGGGAUAACUUCAGGAAAAUGGGGCUAAUACCGGAUAGGAGCUCCUGCUGCAUGGGGGGGGUUGGAAAGUUUCGGCGGUUGGGGAUGGACUGGCGGCUUACCAGCUUGUUGGUGGGGUAGUGGCUGACCAAGGCUUUGAAGGGUAGCCGGCCUGAGAGGGUGGCCGGCCACAUGGGGACUGCGAUACGGCCCAGACUCCUACGUGAGGCAGCAGUGGGGAAUAUUGCACAAUGGGCGCAAGCCUGAUGCAGCAACGCCGCGUGCGUGAUGACGGCCUUCGGGUUGUAAACCGCUUUCGCCUGUGACGAAGCGUGAGUGACGGUAAUGGGUAAAGAAGCACCGGCUAACUACGUG